rnacentral:lncRNA from 10 species
CCCAGUCUGGAAAGUGAGGAGCGUCUCUGCCCGGCCGCCAUCCCAUCUAGGAAGUGAGGAGCAUCUCUGCCCGGCCGCCCAUCGUCUGAGAGGUGGGGAGCACCUCUGCCUGGCAACCGCCCCGUCUGGGAAGUGAGGAGCGUCUCCGCCCGGCAGCCACCCCGUCCGGGAGGGAGGUGGGGGGGUCAGCCCCCCGCCCGGCCAGCCGCCCCGUCCGGGAGGUGAGGGGCUCCUCUGCCCGGCCGCCCCUACUGGGAGGGAUCCUAUGCUUCUAUUCACCUGGAAUCACACUGAUGCACAGACAUCUGUGAAUAGAAAUUAAAGUUAUUUGCUGAGGUAUUCAUGUUAAAAAAAUGCAUCUGGAACUGUGUAGCUUAAAGCUGCAGACGUGUCAACAACUACGCAUGAAAUGGAAUGUUCCCACUGGGAUCCACUCUUGAUACAUGACCAUUAUCUGUUCUUAACACUUUGCAUCUUACUCUGACAAUGUGAUGCUAGGGUCAGGACUUGCUCAGUUGGACACUACAAUGGAUAAUAUUUAAGAGAAGAGGCGAUCUGUUUCACAUUAAGUUUUCAAUAGAAUUUGCACUUGGAAUAAAUGGUAUCAAGACGAACCCUGUGCCAUUGUUUACUCAAUUUUCCUAGGGCUGGGCCAUAGAAUUACAAAGCAAGCCCUGCACCAAGCCUGCCAGGUUGUAUAUGGUGACAUUGCAGGGGGAAUUCUCAAUGAGAAGCACACAGUGGUCUCACUUCCACCACUGAAUGCCUCUCCCUUGGGCAAUGCACCUAGUCUGCCUGGACUGAACAUCUCACUAUGUUUAUCUUGUUGAGGAAGAUAAAUGGGUGUCAACUGGAUUGAGGCAUUGUUAGACUAGGGACCCCUGAGAUGAGGACAGCAAGCAGAAAUUGUGCCUCACACUGAGAAGUGCAAAGCGGCAGCAGGGGUUUUUAGUUGAUUAUGACAGCCAUGAUGCUUUGUCCUCAUUGUAAUUAUCACAGUAAAGCGUUGCAGUUUCUUUAGUCUUUUGAGGAAGUGAGGGAGUUGAAACUUUCAAUAUUCAUAAUGUUGUAAAAUCUCAAGUUUCCUAUUCAUGUAUUUUAUGUCUAAAAUACACAAAACAUAAAAUACAUGAAUAGGAAAAUCCUACUGUUACUUAUUAGCUGUUUGGGGCAAACUUGAUGGUGCCGAACAAUGGAGGAGUCCAUUUCAAUCUUGGUUAGCAAGAUUUCCCACAGAAAGGGGAGCAGUAACCCUACAGAGAAAAAGCGAGCCUUGAGGAGAGUGGAUGGAACGUGCUUGGGAUAGAGAGACACAGCUGGGGGCAGCACCUUCAUUCACACAGCCAGCCAUGGUGCCAGCCAGCACAGUGUGGAAGUAAAGAAAUCUACAAGGAGACUCACAACCCAAUGAACAGACUUUACUCAAGAGAGAUGCCAGGGAGAGACUUUUAGCUCAUUAGAAAACCAAAUCUGCCAGGCGCGGUGGCUCGUGCCUGUAAUCCCAGCACUUUGGGAGGCCAAGGCGAGGGGAUCACCUGAAAUCAGGAGUUCGAGACCAGCCUGACCAACAUGGAGAAACCUCAUCUCUACUAAAACUACAAAAUUAGCUGGGCAUGGUGGCACAUGUCUGUAAUCCCAGCUACUCAGGAGGCUGAGGCAGGUGAAUCACACGAACCCAGGAGUCAGAGGUUGCAGUGAGCCAAGAUCGCCCCAUUGCACUCCAGCCUGGGCAACAAGAGUGAAACUCCAUCUCAUUCCUGAGCCAAUCAGAGUAAUAAUUCCAUGCCUUCUCAUUUUGGUGGAAAUCUAAAGUGGUUUGGAUUUGAUAUAAAAACAGAAGAUUUAACAUUCCUAUUCUUAACUCUUUCUACUUCCAAGUCCUUGAAAUUAUAGAAAAGAUGUAAUAAAAUGAUAAUAAUUAAUGGCUGGGCAUGAUGACUCACAUCUGUAACCCCAGGACUUUAGGAGGCUAAGGCAGGAGGAUCACUUGAGCCCAGGACUUUGAGACCAGCUUGGGCAAUACAGUGAGACCUUGUUUCUCCAAAAAGUUUUAAAAAUUAUCCUGGCAUGGUGGCGUAUGCCUGUAGUCCCAACCGCACAGGAGGCUUAGGUGGGAGGAUCCACUGAACUCAGGAGGUGGUGGAUGCAGUGAGCUGAGAUCACUCAGUGCACUCCAGCCUGGGCAACAGGGUGAGACACUGUCACAAAAAAGGAAAAAAAAAAAAGACAAGAAAGAAUGUAAUCAGCAAAAAAUUAGAAGAAUUUCUGAAAGAUAAAAAGCACACAGCAUUUGAUUUUAAAAGAAAUAUAGUGUAAGGAAAGAACAACUAAACAAAAUGGAUGUAUCUUGUGAUCCAAGGAUUCCUACUCUUAGAUAUACCUACAAGAAAAGCACAUAUGCUGAUGGCUCUAUUAUUAGAAACAGCAAAAAUAGAAACCAUUCAAAUGUCCAUUAACAGUGGAAUGGAAAAAUUAUUAUAAAUUUGCACAGUAGAAUACCGUACAAAUGUUACUGGGAGGGGUGCAGGGUCUGUGGCUCUUGCCUUCUUGGAAGAAAGAAUUCAGCCAAGAGAUGCACAGCAAGGGUUAAGCAGCAGAGUUUCUUGAGGGAAGAUAGAGGACAGUUCAAGAAGGGAGUGGGCUGGCCUGACUGGAAAGCAGCGGCAGCAGCGAGGUUUAUUUAAAGGGAGAGCACACACUGAAUGACAAGGCAGAGCAGGUUGCUGGAGAGAGGGAGUGAGCCAGCAGCAGCCAGUGCUGGGGACUCUCUUUAUGAGGAUCUUACAUGAUUAUUCAUGAAGGGAUGUGAGGGGCUGUCACUUGCAAUCAUGUAUUAGGUGGUUCCACAUGCUCUAUGGCUGUACAUGCUAGUACACACAUGAAAUGUCUCAUUAGCAUUUAAAACCUCCACCUAGGGGUGUGUUUUUUAUAAUUGUAAUGGGCAAAGUCUACUGCAGGGUGAGUUACUGGAGGAGUGAGCAUGCUUGCCAAUGGGAAAAGUCUCUACCAUGGUUGUCUCCAGCUAGAGCCUGAGGAGUCCCCCUUAGGGCUGGAGGAACCCAACCACAACAUAAAAGUAGCCAGUGUAAACUACUACCACACACAACAACGUGGCUGAAUCUCACAAAAGUAAGAUUGAGGGAAACCAGUCAGGAAAGAAAGGACAAUUAUGAUUCCAUUUAUACACAGUGCAAAAACUUGGCAGCACUAAUAUAUUCUAACCGGAAUGGUAUUGUCUUCAGGAAACUGGAAGUGUGGGAGGUAACUGUGAAGAGGAAAAAUAGGGUUUCUGGGUACUGGGAAAUAUUCUGUUUCUUGAUCUUGGUUGUACUUAAAGAUGUUUCACUUAGUGAUAUUUCACUGAGCUGUACACUCAGCGUAAUAUGAUUUGUGCGUGUCAUAUGUGUAUAUUAUACUUCAAUAAAAAUAGCAUUUAAAAAACACAACUCUGAACAGCACAACUGAUUGGAUAUAGAGAGUGAUUAGUAACCUGAAAGAUUUUGGUUGAGAGGAAAGAUUAUCCAGAAAGCAGUGCAAACAGAUGGAAAGGAUGAGAAAAAAGUGUAAAGCCAGUACGUAAAGAUGCAGUAAUUCUACAUAAAAAAAAGAUUUCUAGGAAACGUGGGAAAGUGAAUUUAAUCUAAUAUUGCUGAGGCAUGUUAAAGGGUGUGAUUAAUCGUAUGUGCUAAAUCACUCAUUGGAAGUACUAGUAAAGAAUUAGUUGGAAAAUAAUUGCAAAGUAAGCUCAAUGGAAUUAUUGGUGCAAACUGAAUAUCUUCUGACUGUUUACUAAAAGAAGGGUGAUGUAUAACAACCGUAGGUUUUAUUCAUAUAAAUGAGCUGAAAAUUCACAGUAGCUUUGUAACUACUUGCUGGAUAACUGCAUACAUUCAGGGAUUUUUUUCCCCAAUAAUAAAAACUUUUACUCAUAAUCACCAAAACUUAGAUGGAACCAAGAUGUCCUUCAGUAGAUUAAUGGAUAAAUAUACUGUGGUACAUCCAGACAAUGGAAUAUUGUUCAUCAGUAAAAAGGAAGGAGCUAUCGAGCUAUGGAGGAAACUUACAUGCUACUACAUGAAAGAAGCCAAUCUGAAAAGGCUACAUGUUGUAGAAUUCCAACUCUGUGACACUCUGGAAAAUGCAAAACUAUGGAGACUGUGAAAAUAUCAGUGGUUUCUAGAAAUUGGGUGAAGGCGGGGAUGAAUAGGCCGAGUGCAGAGGAUUUUUAGGGCAGUGAAACUAUUCCAUAUGAUGCUAUGAUGGUGGAAACGUGUCAUCGUACAUGUGUCAAAACACAUAGAAUACACAGUAACAAGAAUGAGCACUAAUAUAAACUAUGGACUUUAGGUGAUUAAUGAGGUGGCAAUGCAGGCUCAUCAAUUGUAAGAAAAUGCACCACUCUAGUGGGUGAUGUUGAUAAUGGGGGUGGGAGUGUUACACACAGGUGGGGCUAAGAGUAUAUGGGACAUCUCUGUACCUUCUGCUCAAUUUUGCUGUGAACCUAAAACUGCUCUAAGAAAUAAAGCCUACUGAUAUGGUUUGAAUCUCUGUCCCCACCCAAAACUCACAUUGAAUUGUAAUCCCCAGUGUGGGAGGUAGGGCCUGGUGGAAGGUGAUCGGAUCAUGGGGACGGCGUUCUCAUGAAUGGUUUAGUACAUCCCCUUGGUACUGUACAGUGAGUGAGUUCUCAUGAGAUCUGGUUAUUUAAAAGUGUUUAGCACCCUCCUCCCUUCCUCCUGCUCUGCCAUGUAGAUGUGCCUGCUUCCUCUUCACCUUCUGCCAUGACUAGAAGCUUCUUGAGUCCUCCCCAGAUGCCACUGUGCUUCCUGUACAGCCUGCAGAACCGUGAGCCAAUUAAAUCUCUUCUUUACAGACUGGGCGUGGUGGCUCACACCUGUAAUCCCAGCACUUUGGGAGGCUGAGGCAGGCGAAUCACUUGAGGCCAGGAGUUCAAGACCAGCCUGGACAUCAUGGCAAAACCCCGUCUCUACUAAAAACACUAAAAUUAACCAGGUGUAGUGGCGCACGCCUUUAGCUAUUUGAGUGGCUGAGGCAUGAGAAUCUCUUGAACCUGGGAAGUGAAGGCUGCAGUGAGCUAUGAUGCUGAGAUCACACCACUGAACUCCAGCCUGGGCAACACAGCUAGACUGUUUCAAAAAAAAGAAAAAAAAUCUUCUUUAUAAAUUACCCAGUUUCAGGUAUUUCUUUAUAGCAAUGUGAGCAUGGACUAAUAGUCUACUAAAAAGAAAAAAGGUUAUUCUACACAAAGUGGUAUGUUCCUCUGGGUAGAGAUUUCCCUUUUUUUCCUCCCAAAAAUUUGGUUAUAAGGAUGGGAUCCCUCAACUAAGCCCUCCACUGGGCACAUUUCUUGGAGUAUUUGUAGCCAUCUUUAAUCAAAUAAGGGACUAUUUGCUAAAAAGUGUUUCUUCAACUACUUUGGUUCAGUGGAAUUGGGUUCCCAGGGAAAAUCCCAAACUCUCACUAGAAGUUUUGAGUUACCAUUGAGUAAAAUUGGUAAUGUGGCUGAAAGGCCCUGUGUGGUUUGCUGUUGGCUUUAAUGGUAAAAUGUUCUGAAAACUCUGGAAUGCUGUCAGCGGGUCCCUCUCCUGGAAGGCGUGCUUCACUCUGCCAUGCCGGGCUCCAGGAGGAUAACUGCUUGCUGCUCCAGCAACUCAGGCUGCUUGCUGUGCCUGGAAUGCUCAGCAUGAGGGGCCACCGAGGGCAGUUCCUGAAGCCUCUCCACUGAAGGUGGACUGGGAGAAGCCACAGUGCCACGCUUCUUAGCCACAUGAGGCCCGUGAGUUUUCACCAGCUGUUCACCUUUCCUAAGUCCAAGGCAUGUCUCAGGGGGUCCGGGCUCCUGAUCCUCUCCACUUCUGUGGCAGCUUUGUUGCAGAGAAUUCAAGAGAGCAAAUAAGGGAAAAUGUAGUUGGGUGGCAAGAAUAAUUUCUCACGUUUUGAGGGAAGUAGCCCAAGUUUGGGAAAAUAUGGAGAAAGAUAAAGAAGACAAAAAAAUAGCCCUUAAGAUUUCCCAGUUAGAAUUAUUCACAAAGGGAAUAAACCCUUAUCUGGGGCCACCACCAGACAAGAAGGAACCCCGUAAUGGAAAGUCAAUAUGUUACUGUUGUAAGAAAUCAGGACAGUGGAGGAAAAAUGAAUGCUAAACGAGGGUCAAGAAGAGUUGAGAGAUACAAGCUAACUCUAAAGCUUUACCGUCAUCUCCAAGAGAUUUUUGCCUAAGGAAAUUGGACAAAAAGUAAUUGGAAAAUUGUGGAAAGUAACCUCAGAGCUGAGGGUGGGAGGCAUUUAUGUGUCUCUUUCUUUUCCCACUUUAAGCUUGUCCUGAUCUUUCUUGUGAACACUGAAGGCACACACUCCACAAUUUCUACAGACGGUUAUCAUUUUACGUCAACCUAGGAAAACAUCCAACUUUUGGGUACCUCUAGACAACCUUCUCCCUGUUCUUUCUUCUCUGAGGUUUCUCAACAAGUAGAUUCUCCAUACUGUAGAUGGAGUGUUUUCAGAGCUCCCAGGAGGCAAGGAGUUGGUAAAUAAGCACUUUCUAAAAUAAAAGAACUAUCAUUAUCUAUUUGUUCAUCAAAUAGAUACUUAGGUUUUUCCCAUAUCUUGACUAUUGUGAAUAAUGCUGCAAUGAACUGAGACUGCCGACAUUUUCACAAGGUCACUUUCUCUGACUAUAUGCCCAGAGGAGAGAUUGCUAGGCCAUAAUGUAGUUCUUUUUAAAAUUUCCUUAGGAGCCUCCAUACUGUUUUGCAUAAUGGCUGUGGCAAUCUACAUUUCCACUAACAGAGUACAAGCAUCCCCUUUUCUACAUACCCUCACCAACACUUAUUAUCUCCUGACUUUUUGAUAGUAGCCAUGCUUACAGAUGUGAGACAUUUCACAGUGGCUUUAAUUCACAUUUUCCUGGUGACUGAUAACAUUGAGCACAUUUUCAUAUACCUGUUGGCCACUUUUAACGUCUUCUUUGGAGAAGUGGCUAUGUAGGUCCCUUGUCCAUUUUUUUAAUUCGGUUGUUUGUUUUUUUAAUAUGGAAUUGUAUGAGUUCUUUAUAAAUAUUGGAUUUUGUUUCCAAAUCUGUAGGUUGCCAUUUUAUUUUGUUGAUUGUGUUUUUUGCUGUUCAGCCUUUAAAAAGAAGGAGAUCUUGCCAUUUGCCACAACAUGCAUGAACCUGGAGGACACUAUGCAAAGUGAAACAAGCCAGACAAAGAAUGAAAAAUAUUCCAUGAUCUCACUUACAUAUUGAAUCUUUUAAAAAAACAGAUUUCUGUAAUGCACUGUAGACUGCAUUACAGACCUAACAAGAUGAAACAUAUAAAGGAAGUAAAAAGGGCUAAUAAAGUUUGAACUGCGGAAGUCGAAGCCCCGUUACUGCUGCAGAGGAACUCCUAUUCGCUGUUUCAGCAACAAACAACCCUCCAAGACUUAGAAAAUAAGAAAGAAAGAAAAUGGGGUGUCCUCAAUAGGAUUAUUCCUGUCCCCCAGUUGUACGAUUGAGUGGAUUUUUCAUGCCAUCAGCAAGCUCAUUUGAACAAAAGAAUACUCUGAAAACCUUGGAAUUCUACUACAUUUGCUAUAGGGUCAAAUAGUUCAGGAAAUGACACAAAGGUGUGCUGUUUGUCAGCAAAGUUAUUUGUGGGAAACACCCAAGUUAAGUCGAAGAAGCCCGCUGAGGCCAACAUGAUCUGAGAACUGGACAAACAUGGACUUUACAGAAGUUGUGCCCUCGGAAGUUAAGAAUUAUUGUUUAGCAGGGAUGUGUAUGAUGCCUGGAUGGCCGGAGGGCGUUCACGUGCUAAAGCAAAUGCUCAAACAAUGAUCAUAUCAUUACUGAAUUUUAUCAUUCUAACCUUUGGGAUUCCAGAACAUGUAAAAUCCAGUAGAUAAGCCAUUUGGUUUCUACGGGGCUAAUUUAGGGGCUCUUUAAAACACUACAGAGGUCUUUAAAUUAUUAUACUCUUUAUUAUCACCAAGCUCCUGGGCUGGUAGAAUGACUAAACCACAGUGUAUUAGUCCAUUCUCACAUUGCAAUAAAGAACUACCUGAGACUGGGCAAUUUAUAAAGAAAAUAGGUUUAAUUGGCUCAUGGUUCUUCAGGCUGUACAGGAAGCAUGCUGAGGGGGAGGCCUCAGGAAGCUCACAAUCAUGUCAGAAGGCGAAGGGCAAGCUGGAACAUCUUACUUGGCUGGAGAAGGAGGAAGAAAGGGAAGCAUGAGGUGCUACACACGCUGGAGAAGGAGGAAGAAAGGGAAGCAUGAGGUGCUACACACUUUUAAACAACCAGAUCUCGUGAGCACUCACACACUACCAUGACAACAGCCAGGGGGAAAUUCACCUUCAUGAUCCAAUUGCCUCCCACCAGGCCCCUCGUCCAACACUGGGAAUUACAAUUUGACAUGAGAUUUGGACGGGGACACAAAUCCAAACCAUAUCACACACCCUAAAGAAUUAUUUGGUUAACUUACACCAAACCAAUGGCUUAUUCGAGUGUUGUUACUGGUCCUGUUAAAAAUAAGAUCAACUCCUAGCAAGCAUGCUAUUUCGCCUUUGGAGUUAACAUCUAGUGACCUAUGAAUUCAGGAUUUAAGUUCACUGCUUACCUAUAAAGGAAAACACCAUAGAUGUACUACUUAACUGGGUUGCCAUCUUUCUAGGCUUAUUCUGCCAUCACGUGGCAGAUGCUGGAAAAGUCCCCAAGGAGACGUGCUAUCAAUUUUGACCAGAAAAAAGCUACAUAGAGUUCCAGUGACAAGACUGGAUGAUCAUUGUGCUAAGAAAGACCCCGCCAGGGGUGGAUCAGGAGGUCAGGAGAUCGAGACCAUCCUGGCUAACACGGUGAAACCCCGUCUCUGCUAAAAAUACAAAAAAAAUUAGCCGGGCCUGGUGGUGGGCACCUGUAAUCCCAGCUACUCAGGAGGCUGAGGCAGGAGAAUGGCGUGAACCUGGGAGGCGGAGCUUGCAGUGAGCCGAGAUAGCGCCACUGCAGUCCAGCCUGGAUGACAGAGUGAUACUCCGUCUCAAAACCAAAAAAAGAAAGACCCCGCCAGGUGUUGCUGAUAACUCGCCCACCAUCACAGUGAAGGAGAAGCUCGGCUUCACGAGAGCUUCGCCUGUGACCGCACCUGUGACUGAAAUGGCCGUGACUCCUGAGUAUUCUAGCUGCCUCCGCCUUUGAGACAGAGCAGGAAGAACCUGUGGAUGGUGGGAUUCCCUCUUCUUGGAGAAGGGGAUGAGCAUUUCCCGCUGCCCUCCUGACACGCCCGUGGCUGUCUGCCUUGCUCUGUACCUCCAGACUUCAUGGAAAGCAUGCUCGACCUUUGACUUCUGGGUGGGUGACUUGGGGCACACCCAAGCAGGAGACCAGCCUGCAGAGAGGGGGCCUAUGUCACUCUGGCCACUCUGUGGUUGGGCUGGCUGUGGCCCACAGACCCUCUGCUCCCUCUGUGAGUCCCCUUGGGCCCCUUUCCUCUUUCCUAGGGUGUGAGUGUGGCACCCUUCAUGACACUCUUCCUAAUCACCCCAUAGGGUGUGCCGCUUCCUUCCUGCGGGAACUCUAACUGGCCCUGUGUAAUGAUCUUUUACACAGAGCUCGUAAAACUAACCCCUGGCCCUGAUGAGUCUUUGGAACAUGAGGCUUACCGGUGAUGAAUAACUCCCAGCAAUCACUGAAACAUCACAAGCUUCUGUCUCUGCUUCCCGCUCCACACCGCCCUCUGCUCUGCUUAGUCUGGUUCAUGUUUUGCAUUCACAUCAUUGCUAUUGUUGUUUUUUCUCCCGUUCCUCUGGACUCCUUUUUGUUGCCCAGCACUAACAAUCAUAAAACUUAUGUUCUAAAAUCAUAAAACUGCAAUGGAGAGCAAAGACAAAAAACAAAUGGUUUUAAGUUAGAGUUGUAACACUACAUAAUUUACUACCUCGGGAGGAUGGGAUGAGAAUUCUGGUCAAAUGAAAUUUCUCUGGUCUAUAAAUCUGCUAUUUCCAAUUGGUACUUUGGCUUUCCAAAAUGUUUAACAAACAGGACUUUGGGGGCUACAUGUUUUUCACAAACCUGUUUGGGAUAUAUUAGUUAUAGUUUUUGGCUACACAAGAAAGUAAGUCAAAAUUUAAUUUGUGCAAGAAUAAUAGACUUGUUUUUUUAAUGAUAAAUGAAAAGAAAAUUUGGAAGAGACUGUGUUUCCUCACAGAUUCUGCCACCUUGGGACUCCUAACCCUACCAAAAAAUCUAGAUGGGAUGAGGAAUUGUUUUCCAUAUUUUCAUGCAUUUUAGAACAAUUAUUUUUUAUUUUUAGUUUUAGCUCCACAAAUAUGACCAAUGAUAUUGCAUAUUAAAGUAAAAAUUUGAAAACAGCUAUGCAUCCACAGGUUAAAUUUUUAUUUCUGUGGUUUAAAUCUGAUUUCACCACAUUUUCCCCCAAUGAAAUGGAUGCUUGGUAAUGCAGUUAAAUAUCUGACUUUUCAGGAGCAUAAAAUAGCAGCUCUUCUUCCUGGGGAUGGGGCAGUGGCCACCCCAAGGUGUGGAGGGCUUUCCUGUGGAAGCAUCACAUGGACUCAUCAUCUGUGGCUCCAGUGGAGAAACCUGGAGUCAAUGGAUGUACGCUGGAGGGAGACCAACUUCAACUUCAUACGAGGAAACAUUUCUAAUAAUUAGGUUAGCGGAGGUACAAACUGCCUUGAAGGGCUGUGCUUUUUCUGCCUCUGAAAUUUCUUCAGGAAAGCCUGAGCUGUAUGCUGCAAAUGAGAAGCUUAACUUGUUAACCUCAAGCAAGGAUUAAAUUAAGUUCCAGUGACAUAUCACUGAUCUUCAUAUAGACCAAUGGAACAGAGCAGAGGCCUCAGAAAUAAUGCCACACAUCUGCAACUGUCUGAUCUUUGACAAACCUGACAAAAACAAGCAACUGGGAAAGGACUCCCUAUUUAAUAAAUGGUGCUGGGAAAACUGGCUAGCCAUAUGCAGAAAACUGAAACUGGAGCCCUUCCUUAUACCUUAUAUAAAAAUUAACUCAAGAUGGGUUAAAGACUUAAAUAUAACAUAAAACCAUAAAAACCCUAGAAGAAAACCUAGACAAUACCAUUCAGGACAUAGGCAUGGCCAAUGACUUCAUGACUAAAACAUGAAAAGCAAUGGCAAUGAAAGCCAAAAUUGACAAAUGGGAUCUAAUUAAACUAAAGAGCUUCUGCACAGCAAAAGAAACUAUCAUCAGAGUCAACAGGCAACCUACAUGGGAGAAAAUAUUUGCAAUCUAUCUAUUUGACAAAGGGCUAAUAUCUAGAAUUUACAAGGAACUUAAACAAAUUUACAAGAAAAAAACAACCCCAUCAAAAAGUGGGCAAAGGAUGUGAACAGCCACUUCUCAAAAGAAGACAUUUAUGCAGACAACAAACAUAUGUAAAAAAGCUCAUCAUCACUGGUCAUUAGAGAAAUGCAAAUCAAAACCACAAUGAGAUACCAUCUCGUGCCAGUUAGAAUGGCAAUCAUUAAAAAGUCAGGAAACAACAGAUGCUGGAGAGGAUGUGGAGAAAUAGGAACACUUUUACAUUGUUGGUGGGAGUGUAGAUUAGUUAAACCAUUGUGGAAGUCAGUGUGGCGAU